CCUACGGGGGGCAGCAGUGGGGAAUAUUGCACAAUGGGCGAAAGCCUGAUGCAGCAACGCCGCGUGAAGGAAGAAGGUCUUCGGAUCGUAAACUUCUGUCCUUGGGGAAGAUAAUGACGGUACCCUUGGAGGAAGCCCCGGCUAACUACGUGCCAGCAGCCGCGGUAAUACGUAGGGGGCAAGCGCUAUCCGGAAUUAUUGGGCGUAAAGGGUGCGCAGGCGGUCCUGCAAGUCUGGAGUGAAACGUAUGAGCUCAACUCAUGCAUGGCUCUGGAAACUGGAGGACUGGAGAGCAGGCGAGGGAG
rnacentral:rRNA from 1 species